GACAAUUUGACCAAACACAGCAGUAAAGGCUGUAGGCUUUAUAAUCAUGGUCAUAAAGGAUAUUUUAGCUGUGAUACCAGUAGUACUUAUUGUUUCUGUUUUCCCAUUUAGCCAGCCAGAUCCUUUUAAAUUGAAGUUUCUUACACUGACUUUUUAAAACAUUGGAAUAGUCUUGACUUGUGCAAUAAUGCAAUAAGGAAGGAGCAGGAGGUUUCUGCAUGUGUCUGUCUGUCCGAGCCACAAGGGGGGACUCAUUCCUCAUCUAUAACUUUCCUGCAGCGAGUAUCUGGAAAAAAAACACCUAUGCUUUAACCAGGUCUAGAAAGUCAAUUCAGCAGAGAGUUUGUCUUCGUUUAUAUUAAGAGAGCUUUAUGUAAAAUCUUGUUAAUCUGCAGUGCUCUCUCCACUCUGCCGUGAGUGCAGCAGCCACCCCAGGCCCUGGGCAGCAACGCCAGACCGAGUCUGGCCAGAGGGACGCGCCUUCAGCUGGGAAAUGCUGCGGUCAGUGGGGCACGGCAUGACUCUGUGCUGUGGGCAAACCAUGCAGUGCUGCUUCUCCAGCAGAGACCGUGGGGAACAGUCUGGGAGAAGGUGGCAGAGAGACUCUGGGCGUCAGAUAUGGGAAUUAUCAGGUGCAAUUUUAUUGAUUUUUUAUUUUUUCCCACUAAGAAGUGUAGCUGUGCUAGAUGCAGCUUUGAAGGUGGUAUCUGGCAUCAUGCAGGACAUGAGUGGUUCUACUUGAUAGCAUCAGAUGGUUGCAUUCAGCUCCAUUUGAAAAACAUUAUCUAAUUACAUUCCUCCAAAUUUCUAGUGCAUUCUUAAAGCAUGGUGAAAUUUGUAAGAAAUUUAUCAUGAAAACCAGUGAAAGGUACUGAUUACCA
rnacentral:lncRNA from 12 species